rnacentral:rRNA from 1 species
UACAGAGGGUGCAAGCGUUGUUCGGAAUUAUUGGGCGUAAAGGGCGCGUAGGCGGCUUUUUAAGUCAGGGGUGAAAUCCUGGAGCUCAACUCCAGAACUGCCUUUGAUACUGGGAAGCUUGAGUCCGGAAGAGGUGAGUGGAACUCCGAGUGUAGAGGUGAAAUUCGUAGAUAUUCGGAAGAACACCAGUGGCGAAGGCGGCUCACUGGUCCGGUACUGACGCUGAGGUGCGAAAGCGUGGGGAGCAAACAGG